UACGUAGGGUGCAAGCGUUUGUCCGGAAUUAUUGGGCGUAAAGAGCUCGUAGGCGGCUUGUCGCGUCGGCUGUGGAAAACCUGGGGCUCAACCCCGGGCCUGCAGCCGAUACGGGCAAGCUAGAAUUCGGUAGGGGAGACUGGAAUUCCCGGUGUAGCGGUGAAAUGCGCAGAUAUCGGGAGGAACACCGGUGGCGAAGGCGGUCGACUGGCGGUUCCGA
rnacentral:rRNA from 1 species